GAUGAAGAACGCAGCGAAAUGCGAUAAGUAAUGUGAAUUGCAGAAUUCAGUGAAUCAUCGAAUCUUUGAACGCACAUUGCGCCCCCUGGUAUUCCGGGGGGCAUGCCUGUCCGAGCGUCAUUACAACCCUCAAGCCCAGCUUGGUGUUGGGCCCCGCCGCCCCGGCGGGCCCUAAAGUCAGUGGCGGUGCCGUCCGGCUCCGAGCGUAGUAAUUCUUCUCGCUCUGGAGGUCCGGUCGUGUGCUCGCCAGCAACCCCCAAUUUUUUUCAGGUUGACCUCGGAUCAGGUAGGGAUACCCGCUGAACUUAAGCAUAUCAAUAAGCGGAGGA
rnacentral:misc_RNA from 1 species